CCUACGGGGAGCAGCAGUGGGGAAUAUUGGGCAAUGGGCGCAAGCCUGACCCAGCAACGCCGCGUGAAGGAAGAAGGCUUUCGGGUUGUAAACUUCUUUUGUCAGGGAAGAGUAGAAGACGGUACCUGACGAAUAAGCCACGGCUAACUACGUGCCAGCAGCCGCGGUAAUACGUAGGUGGCAAGCGUUGUCCGGAUUUACUGGGUGUAAAGGGCGUGUAGCCGGGUUGACAAGUCAGAUGUGAAAUCCUGCGGCUUAACCGUAGAACUGCAUUUGACACUGUUGAUCUUGAGUACUGGAGAGGCAGGCGGAAUUCCUAGUGUAGCGGUGAAAUGCGUAGAUAUUAAGAGGAACACCAGUGGCGAAGGCGGUCUGCUAGACAGCAACUGACGGUGAGGCGCGAAAGCGUGGGGAGCAAACAGGAUUAGAUACCCGGGUAGUC
rnacentral:rRNA from 1 species